CCCGGCUUAGCUCAGUUGGUAGAGCGACGGACUGUAGAUAUCCGUAGGUCUCUGGUUCGAAUCCGGAAGCCGGGA
rnacentral:tRNA from 1 species